CAAACAGGAUUAGAUACCUGGUAGUCACGCUGUAAACGAUGUCGAUUUGGAGGUUGUUGCAUUGAGGAGUGGCUUCCGGAGCUAACGCGUUAAAUCGACCGCCUGGGGAGUACGGCCGCAAGGUUAAAACUCAAAUGAAUUGACGGGGGCCCGCACAAGCGGUGGAGCAUGUGGUUUAAUUCGAUGCAACGCGAAGAACCUUACCUACUCUUGACAUCCAGAGAAUUUAGCAGAGAUGCUUUAGUGCCUUCGGGAACUCUGAGACAGGUGCUGCAUGGCUGUCGUCAGCUCGUGUUGUGAAAUGUUGGGUUAAGUCCCGCAACGAGCGCAACCCUUAUCCUUUGUUGCCAGCACGUUAUGGUGGGAACUCAAAGGAGACUGCCGGUGAUAAACCGGAGGAAGGUGGGGAUGACGUCAAGUCAUCAUGGCCCUUACGAGUAGGGCUACACACGUGCUACAAUGGCGUAUACAAAGAGAAGCGACCUCGCGAGAGCAAGCGGAACUCAUAAAGUACGUCGUAGUCCGGAUUGGAGUCUGCAACUCGACUCCAUGAAGUCGGAAUCGCUAGUAAUCGUAGAUCAGAAUGCUACGGUGAAUACGUUCCCGGGCCUUGUACACACCGCCCGUCACACCAUGGGAGUGGGUUGCAAAAGAAGUAGGUAGCUUAACCUUCGGGAGGGCGCUUACCACUUUGUGAUUCAUGACUGGGGUGAAGUCGUAACAAGGUAACCA
rnacentral:rRNA from 1 species